GGGUUGUGAGGUUAAGCGACUAAGCGUACACGGUGGAUGCCCUGGCAGUCAGAGGCGAUGAAGGACGUGCUAAUCUGCGAUAAGCGUCGGUAAGGUGAUAUGAACCGUUAUAACCGGCGAUUUCCGAAUGGGGAAACCCAGUGUGAUUUGUCACACUAUCAUUAACUGAAUCCAUAGGUUAAUGAGGCGAACCGGGGGAACUGAAACAUCUAAGUACCCCGAGGAAAAGAAAUCAACCGAGAUUCCCCCAGUAGCGGCGAGCGAACGGGGAGCAGCCCAGAGCCUGAAUCAGUGUGUGUGUUAGUGGAAGCGUCUGGAAAGGCGCGCGAUACAGGGUGACAGCCCCGUACACAAAAAUGCACAUACUGUGAGCUCGAUGAGUAGGGCGGGACACGUGGUAUCCUGUCUGAAUAUGGGGGGACCAUCCUCCAAGGCUAAAUACUCCUGACUGACCGAUAGUGAACCAGUACCGUGAGGGAAAGGCGAAAAGAACCCCGGCGAGGGGAGUGAAAAAGAACCUGAAACCGUGUACGUACAAGCAGUGGGAGCACGCUUCGGCGUGUGACUGCGUACCUUUUGUAUAAUGGGUCAGCGACUUAUAUUCUGUAGCAAGGUUAACCGAAUAGGGGAGCCGAAGGGAAACCGAGUCUUAACUGGGCGUUAAGUUGCAGGGUAUAGACCCGAAACCCGGUGAUCUAGCCAUGGGCAGGUUGAAGGUUGGGUAACACUAACUGGAGGACCGAACCGACUAAUGUUGAAAAAUUAGCGGAUGACUUGUGGCUGGGGGUGAAAGGCCAAUCAAACCGGGAGAUAGCUGGUUCUCCCCGAAAGCUAUUUAGGUAGCGCCUCGUGAAUUCAUCUCCGGGGGUAGAGCACUGUUUCGGCAAGGGGGUCAUCCCGACUUACCAACCCGAUGCAAACUGCGAAUACCGGAGAAUGUUAUCACGGGAGACACACGGCGGGUGCUAACGUCCGUCGUGAAGAGGGAAACAACCCAGACCGCCAGCUAAGGUCCCAAAGUCAUGGUUAAGUGGGAAACGAUGUGGGAAGGCCCAGACAGCCAGGAUGUUGGCUUAGAAGCAGCCAUCAUUUAAAGAAAGCGUAAUAGCUCACUGGUCGAGUCGGCCUGCGCGGAAGAUGUAACGGGGCUAAACCAUGCACCGAAGCUGCGGCAGCGACACUAUGUGUUGUUGGGUAGGGGAGCGUUCUGUAAGCCUGCGAAGGUGUACUGUGAGGUAUGCUGGAGGUAUCAGAAGUGCGAAUGCUGACAUAAGUAACGAUAAAGCGGGUGAAAAGCCCGCUCGCCGGAAGACCAAGGGUUCCUGUCCAACGUUAAUCGGGGCAGGGUGAGUCGACCCCUAAGGCGAGGCCGAAAGGCGUAGUCGAUGGGAAACAGGUUAAUAUUCCUGUACUUGGUGUUACUGCGAAGGGGGGACGGAGAAGGCUAUGUUGGCCGGGCGACGGUUGUCCCGGUUUAAGCGUGUAGGCUGGUUUUCCAGGCAAAUCCGGAAAAUCAAGGCUGAGGCGUGAUGACGAGGCACUACGGUGCUGAAGCAACAAAUGCCCUGCUUCCAGGAAAAGCCUCUAAGCAUCAGGUAACAUCAAAUCGUACCCCAAACCGACACAGGUGGUCAGGUAGAGAAUACCAAGGCGCUUGAGAGAACUCGGGUGAAGGAACUAGGCAAAAUGGUGCCGUAACUUCGGGAGAAGGCACGCUGAUAUGUAGGUGAAGUCCCUCGCGGAUGGAGCUGAAAUCAGUCGAAGAUACCAGCUGGCUGCAACUGUUUAUUAAAAACACAGCACUGUGCAAACACGAAAGUGGACGUAUACGGUGUGACGCCUGCCCGGUGCCGGAAGGUUAAUUGAUGGGGUCAGCGCAAGCGAAGCUCUUGAUCGAAGCCCCGGUAAACGGCGGCCGUAACUAUAACGGUCCUAAGGUAGCGAAAUUCCUUGUCGGGUAAGUUCCGACCUGCACGAAUGGCGUAAUGAUGGCCAGGCUGUCUCCACCCGAGACUCAGUGAAAUUGAACUCGCUGUGAAGAUGCAGUGUACCCGCGGCAAGACGGAAAGACCCCGUGAACCUUUACUAUAGCUUGACACUGAACAUUGAGCCUUGAUGUGUAGGAUAGGUGGGAGGCUUUGAAGUGUGGACGCCAGUCUGCAUGGAGCCGGCCUUGAAAUACCACCCUUUAAUGUUUGAUGUUCUAACGUAGACCCGUGAUCCGGGUUGCGGACAGUGUCUGGUGGGUAGUUUGACUGGGGCGGUCUCCUCCUAAAGAGUAACGGAGGAGCACGAAGGUUGGCUAAUCCUGGUCGGACAUCAGGAGGUUAGUGCAAUGGCAUAAGCCAGCUUGACUGCGAGCGUGACGGCGCGAGCAGGUGCGAAAGCAGGUCAUAGUGAUCCGGUGGUUCUGAAUGGAAGGGCCAUCGCUCAACGGAUAAAAGGUACUCCGGGGAUAACAGGCUGAUACCGCCCAAGAGUUCAUAUCGACGGCGGUGUUUGGCACCUCGAUGUCGGCUCAUCACAUCCUGGGGCUGAAGUAGGUCCCAAGGGUAUGGCUGUUCGCCAUUUAAAGUGGUACGCGAGCUGGGUUUAGAACGUCGUGAGACAGUUCGGUCCCUAUCUGCCGUGGGCGCUGGAGAACUGAGGGGGGCUGCUCCUAGUACGAGAGGACCGGAGUGGACGCAUCACUGGUGUUCGGGUUGUCAUGCCAAUGGCACUGCCCGGUAGCUAAAUGCGGAAGAGAUAAGUGCUGAAAGCAUCUAAGCACGAAACUUGCCCCGAGAUGAGUUCUCCCUGACCCUUUAAGGGUCCUGAAGGAACGUUGAAGACGACGACGUUGAUAGGCCGGGUGUGUAAGCGCAGCGAUGCGUUGAGCUAACCGGUACUAAUGAACCGUGAGGCUUAACCUUACAACGCCGAAG
rnacentral:rRNA from 1 species